AGCGCUCCAGCUGUGACACAGGCUGGUACCUAUUCGUUCAACCCUUAAAAGCACCUGCUACGGCGCCACACCACGGCAUUGAAGAGAAGCACCACUCUCUCGGCCACUAGCAUCCAUUUAUCGAGUUUGGAGUUGGGUUUUGAAAGGCUCCCGAGAAGUGACUGCAGGUCAUCGGAGAUUCAGCUCUGUUCUUCAAUCUCCGUGCUUCCCCUUUUCGAGUUUGGAGUGUGACGGAACUUUUAUGGACAGGCUCAAUGGUCCUGCAAAUCUUAUGAUAGUUUCAGAUCUUGAUGAUACAAUGGUGGACCAUAAUGAUCCUGAGAGCCUCUCACUUCUCAGGUUUAAUGCCCUAUGGGAAGCCUAUUAUCAUCCCAGUUCUCUUCUAGUUUUCUCAACUGGAAGGUCACCUACUCUUUACAAACAGUUGAGGAAAGAAAAACCAUUGCUGACACCUGAUAUUGCUGUAAUGUCCGUAGGGACGGAGAUCACAUAUGGUGAAUCAAUGGAAGCAGAUGAUGACUGGGAGCGGUUUCUGGAUCAGAAAUGGAACAGAAACAUAGUGAUAGAGGAAACUGCCAAGUUUCCUGAACUUACCUUUCAGUCAGAAACAGAGCAACGGCCCCACAAAGUUAGCUUUUAUGUGGAGAAAAAUAAGGCCUUGGAAAUAAUGAGAACUCUCUUAGAACGUUUAGAGAAACGCGGGUUAGAUAUCAAAAUUAUUUACAGUAGUGGGAUUGCUUUGGACAUAUUACCUCAAGGUGCUGGAAAAGGACAGGCUCUUGCAUAUUUGCUGAAAAAGUUCAAAGUUGAUGGAGGUCUGCCAAACAACACUCUUGUUUGUGGUGACUCUGGAAAUGAUGCUGAACUAUUCAGUAUUCCUGAAGUGUAUGGUGUGAUGGUCAGCAAUGCAAAGGAAGAAUUGUUGCAGUGGCAUGCAGUUAAUGGAAAGAAUAACCGUAAUAUAAUCCAUGCAACACAGAGAUGUGCAGCUGGGAUAAUAGAGGCCAUUGAUUUAUUUAAUCUUGGUCCAAGUAUAUCUCCAAGAGAUGUUAGAGACUUCUCAGAUUGCAAAGUUGGAGUUUGCUAUCCUGGUCAUGAAAUCGUGAAGUUUUACCUGCUUUAUGAGCGAUGGCGGCGUGCAGAAGCUGAGAAGUCUGGGUCUUACAUCCAGCACUUAAAAUCAGUUUUUCACCCACUGGGAAUUUUUGUCCAUCCUUCUGGUAAUGAGCAGCCUCUCCACCUGUGCAUAGAUGCAAUAGAGAGUUCUUUCGGGGACAAACAAGGAAAACAUUUUCGCGUAUGGGUGGAUCGUCUUUUAUCAGCUCAGAUAGGUUCAGACGCUUGGUUGAUGAAGUUUGAUAAGUGGGAGUCAUCUGAUAAUGUAUUUCAGUGCUGCCGGACAACUGUUUUACUGAGUUCCAAGGCGAAGGUACCAGGUGGCUUCACAUGGAUGCACGUGCAUCAGACAUGGUUGGAUGGAUUAGGCGACAAGGACCCAACAACCUGGCUCUUCUGAACUGCCUUGCGUUGUCAUUUAUCCUCCCAGGAUGUUGAGUUGGGAACCCUGCGGGUGCAGGGAAGAUUUUCUUAGGAGCUUUACAGGAAUCAGGAGCCCCUGAUAGGAGAGUGGGAAAAGUCUCAUUGAUCUAAAGUUGUUUAUCUGCCCUCUACGAAAGGUAAGUUUUUGUAGGGACAGUUAGGUUUUUGUGGGGAUUGUCCCUAGGUGUAAUUUUUGAGAUGUAUAUAUGAGAUGUAGUGAUUAUAGUAACUUUGGUGUAGUAAUGCAUGUGGUGAUGAGCUGUAUAUGGUUAUAUGUUUUCUGUUGCUUAGGCUUCUACUAUAUAUGUAAAUACUCUUAUAUAUCCCUGGUACCCACGGGUCCAGGUGGAUUGUG